rnacentral:rRNA from 1 species
UACGUAGGGGGCAAGCGUUGUCCGGAAUCAUUGGGCGUAAAGCGCGUGUAGGCGGCUUGGUAAGUCCGCUCUGAAAGCCCGGGGCUCAACCCCGGGAGGCGGGUGGAUACUGUCAAGCUCGAGUCCGGAAGAGGCGAGUGGAAUUCCUGGUGUAGCGGUGAAAUGCGCAGAUAUCAGGAGGAACACCAAUGGCGAAGGCAGCUCGCUGGGACGUGACUGACGCUGAGACGCGAAAGCGUGGGAGCAAACAGG